AGCUGCUUGUUUGUAUUGGAGGCUUAAUUUGUACUUUGUUUGUAUAAAGAAAAGGACUGUUAUAUCAAUAUAUUUGCAUUCCUUGGGGAGCGCAGCAAGUUUUCACGGUGCUAAAAUGCCUGACGAGACGGAUAGAGUUGUCGCUGUCUGAGACUUCAAAUAAAGGGAAAAACUUAAGCACCUGUCGAGACUCUCUGGGACCCAAGGGGCUGCAACAUACCCUAUAAAAGUGGCAGUGGUUGGCUGGGGACCUAACGCUGGCAAGGUGUUCUUCUGGUUACCUGACUUCGCUGUGGUUAAAGGUACUGUAUGCAGUGGGCUGUUCUGCGGCUUUCCUUGCUGUUGUAGGUCACACCCGUGGCUGGUUGAAUUUAUUGUUUAUUGUUAUAUGCUCUAUUACAGCUGCGGUCUGGAUUGCCUGCCCUACAGUUGCUGCUGCUUUGCCUCUUUUUCUGUAUUGUGAAUGUGGGGAUUGGUGGAUUGUAAUUCCCUGUUAACUGGUUCUUCCAGGUUUAAUUGCCUAGGGUGAGGGUUUUUAUUAAAUGUGUUUAAGACUGUUUUGGGUUGGUACGCCACUAGGGAGGAAGGGAACUUUGAUGUGGUGGCGUUUUGUGUUGUGCGCAGCAGCAGGGCAGUAGUACGUGUGCAUGGGAAUUGUAAUGCUUUUGUUCCAGGAUGCCAUCUUCUGACUGCUUUACCUCCCUAUCCUGUGUGUACCAGCCCUGAGGUUUUAUUUUGUAGUGUGGAUGGUGUUUUAUUAUUGUGAUUGUUAAUAAAAGAUUGUAAGUGGA